UGGCUCAGGACGAACGCUGGCGGCGUGCCUAAUACAUGCAAGUCGAGCGAGCUUGCCUAGAUGAUUUUAGUGCUUGCACUAAAUGAAACUAGAUACAAGCGAGCGGCGGACGGGUGAGUAACACGUGGGUAACCUGCCCAAGAGACUGGGAUAACACCUGGAAACAGAUGCUAAUACCGGAUAACAACACUAGACGCAUGUCUAGAGUUUGAAAGAUGGUUCUGCUAUCACUCUUGGAUGGACCUGCGGUGCAUUAGCUAGUUGGUAAGGUAACGGCUUACCAAGGCAAUGAUGCAUAGCCGAGUUGAGAGACUGAUCGGCCACAUUGGGACUGAGACACGGCCCAAACUCCUACGGGAGGCAGCAGUAGGGAAUCUUCCACAAUGGACGAAAGUCUGAUGGAGCAACGCCGCGUGAGUGAAGAAGGGUUUCGGCUCGUAAAGCUCUGUUGGUAGUGAAGAAAGAUAGAGGUAGU
rnacentral:rRNA from 1 species